rnacentral:rRNA from 1 species
UACGUAGGGGGCGAGCGUUGUCCGGAUUUAUUGGGCGUAAAGAGCUCGUAGGCGGCUUGGCAAGUCGGGUGUGAAACCUCCAGGCUCAACCUGGAGACGCCACUCGAUACUGCCAUGGCUAGAGUCCGGUAGGGGACCACGGAAUUCCUGGUGUAGCGGUGAAAUGCGCAGAUAUCAGGAGGAACACCGGUGGCGAAGGCAGGUCUCUGGGCCACUACUGACGCUGAGAUGCGAAAGCGUGGGGAGCAAACAGG